rnacentral:lncRNA from 1 species
UAAAUGGAUAUCCCUACUAUGACUGUGAAAACAUGUCAGGUGCCACUUUAGUGUCACAGACAGAAAGCACACACCUAUGCAAUAUGGCUUACCCUAUAUUUAUUUGUAAAAAUCCAAGUAUUAGGGUUCUUUAUGAUUAUUCCAGGUAAGUGUAUAAAAGAGAUUAAGUGCUUUUCUUUCAUCAUUUGAUUAUUUUCUUUAAAAUCAGCUAUUACAGGAUAUUUUUUUAUUUUAUACAUGCUGUUUUUUAAUUAAAAUAUAAUCACUGAUAACUGAAGUUUACUAAUUUUGAUUUUAUAAGGUUUGUAGCAUUACAGAAUAAACUGGAUUUAUAAAUGAGCUGUGAUUAACAAUGUAAAGUAUUAAUUAUUGAACUUGAACCAGAUUUUUAGGAAAAUUAUAUUAUUUCUUUUUCCCCUUUAUGGUCUUAACUAAUUUGAAUCCUUGAAGAAGGAUUUUUCCAUACAAUUUUUUGAGAAGGAAGAUAAUUGGGGGGAAAGAAUGCAUGUAUGAUACUCCAUAAAUUCAACAUUCUUUAAGUAAUAAAUGAUUAUAAACAAGAUGCAUCUUCCAUAGUAUUAAUAUACUGAGCCUUGGAUUUUAUAUUUAAUAUAGGACCUAAAAAUUCUGGUUACUCAGUUAAGUUGUAUGGUUCCUAGCUUAUAAGGGCUAGAUCUAAGAUUAUUCCUGUGAGAAAUGUUGAAUUUAUGAAGAGUGGGUUUUGAGGCUUUGAAAAUGCCUCACAUAAAAACAUCAAUGUCCAAACAUCUACCUUUUUUCAUAGGAGUAGACACUACCAAGCUGGACAAAAGUAUUGGUCACACCAUGACCUGUGGUCUGUUGAUGAUUGAUACAAAACUUUUCUUGUGUGAUUCUUAAUUUACCACUACAGCACAAGUAUUACCUCAGUGGAUUAUCUGAAGUAACAUCUGAAAGAUGGGUUCAUCUGUGUUUGCUCUUAAAACUAUUAUUUUUUUCCUAUCUCAAGUUGGCUUUGCAUUUAUCAGAGUAAAUAAAUUCUUCAGCUGCCUUAUUAGGAGUGCUAUGAGGGUAACACCUUUUCUGCUUUUCAUCUUGUAUUUAGUUUACUGUACUAAGUAUUUGAUUUCAGAUUCAAUGAAUGUAAAUAGAAAUUAAAUACAAAUUUGAAUGAACAU